rnacentral:rRNA from 1 species
AGUGAACGUUGGCGGCGUGGAUUAGGCAUGCAAGUCGAGCGAGAACCGUAGCAAUACGGGGACAGCGGCGAAAGGGACAGUAAUGUGUAGGUACCUACCCCGAGGUCUGGGAUAGCUGCGGGAAACUGCAGGUAAUACCAGAUAAUGUCUUCGGACCAAAGGUGUGAUUCCACCUUGGGAGGGGCCUGCAUCCUAUUAGCUAGUUGGCGGGGUAAUGGCCCACCAAGGCGACGAUGGGUAGCGGGUGUGAGAGCACGACCCGCGUCAUUGGGACUGAGACACUGCCCAGACACCUACGGGGGGAUGCAGUCGGGGAUCUUCGGCAAUGGGCGAAGGCCUGACCGAGCGACGCCGCGUGCGGGAUGAAGGCCUUCGGGUUGUAAACCGCUGUCGUAGAGGAGGAAAUGCAGGUGGGUUCUCCCAUCUGUUUGACCUAUUCUAGGAGGAAGUACGGGCUAAGUUCGUGCCAGCAGCCGCCGUAA